rnacentral:rRNA from 1 species
UACGAAGGGUGCAGACGUUGCUCGGAAUUAUUGGGCGUAAAGCGCACGUAGGCGGCUUGGCAAGUCGGAUGUGAAAUCCCUCGGCUCAACCAAGGAAGUGCAUCCGAAACUGCUGAGCUUGAGUACGAAAGAGGAUCGCGGAAUUCCCGGUGUAGAGGUGAAAUUCGUAGAUAUCGGGAGGAACACCGGUGGCGAAGGCGGCGACCUGGGUAGAUACUGACGCUGAGGUGCGAAAGCGUGGGGAGCAAACAGG